AGUCGAGGGGCAGCGGGGUUGUAGCAAUACAACUGCCGGCGACCGCCGCUCGGGUGAGUAACACGUAUGUAACCUGCCCUCUGCAGGGGGAUAAGCGGAAGAAAUUCCGUCUAAUACCGCAUAACACAAUUUGGAGACAUCUCCGGGUUGUCAAAGGAGUGAUCCGGCAGAGGAUGGACAUGCGGCGCAUUAGCUAGUCGGCGGGGUAACGGCCCACCGAGGCUACGAUGCGUAGGGGUUCUGAGAGGAAGGUCCCCCACACUGGUACUGAGACACGGACCAGACUCCUACGGGAGGCAGCAGUGAGGAAUAUUGGUCAAUGGGCGGAAGCCUGAACCAGCCAAGUCGCGUGAGGGAAGACGGUCCUAUGGAUUGUAAACCUCUUUUGCAGGGGAGCAAGGCGCGGUACGUGUACCGCGAAGGAGAGUACCCUGAGAAAAAGCAUCGGCUAACUCCGUGCCAGCAGCCGCGGUAAUACGGAGGAUGCGAGCGUUAUCCGGAUUUAUUGGGUUUAAAGGGUGCGCAGGCGGACUGUUAAGUCAGCGGUAAAAUG
rnacentral:rRNA from 1 species